rnacentral:rRNA from 1 species
UACGUAGGGUGCAAGCGUUGUCCGGAAUUACUGGGCGUAAAGGGCGCGUAGGCGGCCUGCUAAGUCGAACGUGAAAUCCCUGGGCUCAACCCAGGAACUGCGUCCGAUACUGGUUGGCUUGAAUCCGGGAGAGGGAUGUGGAAUUCCAGGUGUAGCGGUGAAAUGCGUAGAUAUCUGGGGGAAUACCAGUGGCGAAAGCGGCACCCUAGCGUUAGCCUGACGCUCAUGUGCGAAAGCGUGGGGAGCGAACAGG